rnacentral:rRNA from 1 species
AGUGAACGCUGGCGGUAGGCCUAACACAUGCAAGUCGAACGGCAGCACAGUAAGAGCUUGCUCUUACGGGUGGCGAGUGGCGGACGGGUGAGGAAUACAUCGGAAUCUACUUUUUCGGGGGGGAUAACGUAGGGAAACUUACGCUAAUACCGCAUACGACCUACGGGUGAAAGCAGGGGAUCUUCGGACCUUGCGCGAUUGAAUGAGCCGAUGUCGGAUUAGCUAGUUGGCGGGGUAAAGGCCCACCAAGGCGACGAUCCGUAGCUGGUCUGAGAGGAUGAUCCGCCACACUGGAACUGAGACACGGUCCAGACUCCUACGGGAGGCAGCAGUGGGGAAUAUUGGACAAUGGGCGCAAGCCUGAUCCAGCCAUACCGCGUGGGUGAAGAAGGCCUUCGGGUUGUAAAGCCCUUUUGUUGGGAAAGAAAAGCAGCAGGUUAAUACCCCGCUGUUCUGACGGUACCCAAAGAAUAAGCACCGGCUAACUUCGUG